rnacentral:ncRNA from 1 species
GAGAGCCGUAUGCGCUGAAAGGCGCACGUACGGUUCGGAGAGGGGAAGCGCAUAUGCGCUUCCUACUCUAC